rnacentral:rRNA from 1 species
UACGGGAGGCAGCAGUGGGGAAUAUUGCACAAUGGGCGCAAGCCUGAUGCAGCCAUGCCGCGUGUAUGAAGAAGGCCUUCGGGUUGUAAAGUACUUUCAGUCGUGAGGAAGGUGUUAAGGUUAAUAACCUUAGCAAUUGACGUUAGCGACAGAAGAAGCACCGGCUAACUCCGUGCCAGCAGCCGCGGUAAUACGGAGGGUGCGAGCGUUAAUCGGAAUUACUGGGCGUAAAGGGCACGCAGGCGGUUAAUUAAGUUGGAUGUGAAAUCCCCGGGCUUAACCUGGGAAUGGCAUUCAAGACUGGUUAGCUAGAGUCUUGUAGAGGGGGUAGAAUUCCAUGUGUAGCGGUGAAAUGCGUAGAGAUGUGGAGGAAUACCGGUGGCGAAGGCGGCCCCUGGGACAAAGGGACCUGACGCGUCAUGUGCGAAAGCGUGGGGAGCAAAC